UCCACUCAACUACCAAAUUUUAUCAUAUUGGGAUGCAGCCUUUAACUCUCCAUUUAUUCAUUUCUCUGUUCAAAAGUCUCAAACAUUACCGUCUUCAAGUAUACACAUACAGCACGACAUAAAUUAACUCCCAACUUAUGUAAGUUCUAUUAAUACAGGCUUUAAUAACUAAAUGAAAAGAACAAACAUAUUGGUGAACCUUCACAGCCAUCUUACAGGCUAGUGGAGGCAAUUUUGGGUUGCGAAUUGAUCCUCCUCUUUCUAAGACGCUCUGCAAUGAUGAAUGCCAGCUCCAGAGAUUGUGAAGCAUUGAGCCUAGGGUCACAGUGGGUGUGGUAGCGGGAACUCAGGUCAUCAAACGUCACAGUACGUGAUCCCCCAAUGCAUUCUGUCACAUUUUGGCCAGUCAUCUCUAGAUGAACUCCUCCAGGAUGGCUUCCUUCUUGUUCAUGCACAUCAAAGAAGGCUCUCACCUCCGCCUGCUCAAAUAAAAGAUAAAACAACAUUAGAUGAUUUAGAAGAAUGAUAAUAUUGCUGUGAAACUAUUUAUGGUUCAUUUAGUAUUAUUGUUAGAGAAAAAUAUUUUCUUAAAUUUAUUUGUUAGAACACAUUAAAAAUUGAUUUACAAUUAAAUUUGACAUGGAACACUAAAAUAACAAAACUUUUUUCAAACUGUUAAAUGAUGUUUUCUCUAAAAAUGUUUUUUUUGCCCCCUAAAACUUAAUGCCAAAUGGGCCCUUACAUGCAUUUUCAAAUAUACAGGAACCAUAGUGGAAACUGGAAAGCAACAUUUUAAGAAAAUGAAUAUUCUUCUAGCGCAAAAUGGAUUUUGUCAACUUGCAGGUAAAGGCGGACAUUACCACCUAACCACAUUCACCUACCCACUAAUUGCAUUUCUGGCUUAACCAUUGAUUACAUACUUCAGGAAUCUCAAUUUGCUAUUCUACCCCAAAGACCUUAGAAGUAGUCCUUUUCCCACCUACCACAACUAGUUUUAUUUGCCUUCAAAUCUGUCUAUUUCUAAAAAUCUUCUUAAGAGCUAAAGCAUACCCCUCCAUGAGCAACUGUGAGCUAGGGCAACUUGUUCAACAAUGGUAAAUCUUAAAUGUCCAUAUACAACGUUAUGCAAAUAGACAUCACAUUAAUUGCAAGCACUGAUUGGUGAGUGCAUCACAUGUUAUGAUAAGAAGAAAAUUUUUUCUUCAAUGGUUUACCACCAAAGCUGAUCACAAAAGGCUAAUUUAAACUAUUAAAUAAUAAUAUGAUGAAAGGUAGCUCAUCAACUAAAACUGUCAUUUAUUUGGAUUUUGGAUACAAAUUAACAAUUUGUUAAGAGAGUCCUAUCACUACUUGUACUAUCAAUAAUUAUAUUAUCAUUUACACUGCUUCAUACAUAUUAUGUUGCUGGGUGCUAAAAGACAAUUUUUCUUUUUCUCAUUCUCCUAUUUAGUUCUAAGCCCGCUACUAACUUUUUCUUCUUUUAUUCCUUAAUUUUCUAUUUUCCCUUAACAUAUAAUUUAAACAACCAAGAAUUCCUGCCUCACAUAAAAUGAAUUUACAAAGAAUUAUAUGCUUUCAAAGCAAGUAAAGAUACGAGUAUCAUACCCUGAUGGAAUCAAAUGGGCGAGUUUUUAAACCGCAAGGAGCCUUUAUGGUGUUUCCAUGCAUAGGAUCACUGACCCAUGUGACAAUUUGCCCAGCCCUGCGUACUGCUCGAAUUAGAUGGGGAAGUUUCACUCUCAUGUUCUCAGCUCCCAUUCUGGUGAUAAUUGUUAUUCUCCCUGGUUUGUUCUGAGGAUUCAGAAUCUCAAUGAGCUUAACUAGCUCAUUAGGAUCCAUCUUAUCACUCACCUUGAUGCCAAGGGGAUUAGCAACUCCUCUCAAAAACUCAACAUGAGCACCAUCUAGCUGUCUGGUACGUUCUCCAACCCAGAGAAAAUGGGCAGAGCAGUCAUAGUAGAGGCCAGAAGUUGAAUCCAGCCGGGCAAGUGAUUGCUCAUAUGGCAAAAGCAAGCACUCAUGGGAUGUCCAGAACUCAGUUGUUGUCAUGAUAGGAUGGUCAACAGUGAGACCAGCUGCAGACAUGAAUCCAAGGGCCUCAUCUACCCGGUGUGCAAGUUCCCGGUACCUGUCUCCCUGCUCACUAUGCUCUGUGAAAUCCAGAUUCCACUGAUUAACCCUCUGCAUAGCAGCAUAUCCACCGGUGGCAAACGCUCGAAGAAGAUUCAAAGUUGCUGCUGAUUGGCAGUAAGCUCUAAUCAUCCUCUGUGGGUCGGGAACUCUUGACUUCUCGUCGAAAGUAUCACCGUUCACGUUGUCCCCUCUGUAACUAGGCAACUUCACUCCAUUCUUUUCCUCAAAAGGCUCCGAUCUUGGUUUCGCAAACUGACCUGCCAUCCGUCCCACCUUGACAACGGGCAUUUGGCCACCGAACAUCAGAACAGCACCCAUCUGGAGAAGAAUCCUGAAAGUGUCACGGAUGUUAUUGGCGUUAAACUCCUUGAAACUCUCAGCACAAUCUCCCCCUUGCAACAAAAAAAGCAUUGCCCAUUGCAGCCUCACUGAGCCUCUCCUCUAAGCUCCUAGCCUCACCAGCGAACACAAUCGGAGGGAAAGCAUCGAGGGUCCUGAGCACCGAUUCGAGCUCUUCCUUAUUCGGGUAUUCCGGAAGCUGCAAAGCCUUCUUCGAUUUCCAGCUGUCCACGCUCCAUUUCCCAGGAACCACAUUGGUAGUCGGCGCCGCCGCAGCUGCUGGUGCCGAUGUUGCCGCUGCUGAUGUGGAUGUUUUCGUCGUUUGUUGUUUCCCUGAUUUAUCGGAGACAAUGGGAUUUUUAGAAGGCUCGGAGGAGUAGACGGCGGAGAUUUGGAGGACGGAUCGGGACGGUGCCUUGUUGGCUACGAAUGAAGGUUGGUGGGUUUUGUUAGAGGUAAUUAAGGCUUUGGUGGGAAUAAAGGAAGUGCUUGUGAAAGACAUUUUGGGUAUUUUCUAUAAUGGAAAAGAAAAAGAGGGGUUUGUGAUUUGCGAUUUGAAAGGUCCCUGAAUGAGCAGAGGAAGAGAUGAAAAUGUUUUUAUAAGGGAAGGAGCGAGGCCAUGGGCCAGGGUGGUGGU
rnacentral:misc_RNA from 1 species